UACGUAGGGGGCAAGCGUUGUCCGGAAUCAUUGGGCGUAAAGAGCGCGUAGGCGGUCCGGUAAGUCCGCUCUGAAAGUCCGGGGCUCAACCCCGGGAGGCGGGCGGAUACUGUCGGGCUAGAGUCCGGAAGAGGCGAGUGGAAUUCCUGGUGUAGCGGUGAAAUGCGCAGAUAUCAGGAGGAACACCGGUGGCGAAGGCGGUUCUCUGGGCAUUACCUGACGCUGAGGAGCGAAAGCGUGGGGAGCAAACAGG
rnacentral:rRNA from 1 species